rnacentral:rRNA from 1 species
ACUCCUGCGGGAGGCAGCAGUGGGGAAUAUUGCACAAUGGGCGCAAGCCUGAUGCAGCCAUGCCGCGUGUAUGAAGAAGGCCUUCGGGUUGUAAAGUACUUUCAGCGGGGAGGAAGGCGAUAAGGUUAAUAACCUUGUUGAUUGACGUUACCCGCAGAAGAAGCACCGGCUAACUCCGUGCCAGCAGCCGCGGUAAUACGGAGGGUGCAAGCGUUAAUCGGAAUUACUGGGCGUAAAGCGCACGCAGGCGGUCUGUCAAGUCGGAUGUGAAAUCCCCGGGCUCAACCUGGGAACUGCAUUCGAAACUGGCAGGCUAGAGUCUUGUAGAGGGGGGUAGAAUUCCGGGUGUAGCGGUGAAAUGCGUAGAGAUCUGGAGGAAUACCGGUGGCGAAGGCGGCCCCCUGGACAAAGACUGACGCUCAGGUGCGAAAGCGUGGGGAGCAAACAGGAUUAGAAACCCCGGUAGUCCC